rnacentral:lncRNA from 1 species
GACUAGGAAUGGCCCCAGACUUGGCGGGCGGCCUCCGUGUGCCAAAAAUAGGCCACGGGCACAGCCGCGCCCAAAAAUCAGCCCCCGAAGGUCGGGGUUCCAAGACCCCCCAGCGGAAAAAUGGCCAAAAAACGGGUGGGCUAUAGCCUUGGUGGGGGUUGUGGGCGAAGUUCGUCCGCGGGACUCGGAAUGGCCCCAGACUUGGCGGGCGGCCUCCCUGUGCCAUAAAUAGGCCAUGGGCACAGCC